UACAGAGGUCUCAAGCGUUUGUUCGGAUUCAUUGGGCGUAAAGGGUGCGUAGGCGGCGCGGUAAGUCGGGUGUGAAAUCUCGGGGCUUAACUCCGAAACUGCAUUCGAUACUGCCGUGCUUGAGGACUGGAGAGGAGACUGGAAUUUACGGUGUAGCGGUGAAAUGCGUAGAUAUCGUAAGGAAGACCAGUGGCGAAGGCGGGUCUCUGGGCCGAUACUGACGCUGAGGAGCGAAAGCGUGGGGAGCGAACAGG
rnacentral:rRNA from 1 species